AUUGAACGCUGGCGGCAGGCCUAACACAUGCAAGUCGAGCGCGCGGCGGACGGGUGAGUAAUGUCUGGGAAACUGCCUGAUGGAGGGGGAUAACUCCUGGAAACGGUAGCUAAUACCCCAUACCAUCAGAUGUGCCCCGCUGGGGUUAGCUGGGCGGUGGGGUAACGGCUCACCUAGGCGACGAUCCCUCGCUGGUCUGAGAGGAUGACCAGCCACACUGGAACUGAGACACGGUCCAGACUCCUACGGGAGGCAGCAGUGGGGAAUAUUGCACAAUGGGCGCAAGCCUGAUGCAGCCAUGCCGCGUGUGUGAAGAAGGCCUUCGGGUUGUAAAGCACUUUCAGCGGGGAGGCGUUACCCGCAGAAGAAGCACCGGCUAACUCCGUGCCAGCAGCCGCGGUAAUUC
rnacentral:rRNA from 1 species